rnacentral:rRNA from 1 species
AUGAACGCUAGCGGCAGGCUUAACACAUGCAAGUCGAGGGGCAGCACGAGGUAGCAAUACUUUGGUGGCGACCGGCGCACGGGUGCGUAACGCGUAUGCAACCUACCUUUAACAGGGGCAUAACACUGAGAAAUUGGUACUAAUUCCCCAUAACAUUCGAGAAGGCAUCUUCUUGGGUUAAAAACUCCGGUGGUUAAAGAUGGGCAUGCGUUGUAUUAGCUAGUUGGUGAGGUAACGGCUCACCAAGGCAACGAUACAUAGGGGGACUGAGAGGUUAACCCCCCACAUUGGUACUGAGACACGGACCAAACUCCUACGGGAGGCAGCAGUGAGGAAUAUUGGUCAAUGGACGCAAGUCUGAACCAGCCAUGCCGCGUGCAGGAAGACGGCUCUAUGAGUUGUAAACUGCUUUUGUACUAGGGUAAACGCUCCUACGUGUAGGAGUCUGAAAGUAUAGUACGAAUAAGGAUCGGCUAACUCCGUGCCAGCAGCCGCGGUAAUACGGAGGAUCCAAGCGUUAUCCGGAUUUAUUGGGUUUAAAGGGUGCGUAGGCGGUUUGAUAAGUUAGAGGUGAAAUACCGGGGCUCAACUCCGGAACUGCCUCUAAUACUGUUGAACUAGAGAGUAGUUGCGGUAGGCGGAAUGUAUGGUGUAGCGGUGAAAUGCUUAGAGAUCAUACAGAACACCGAUUGCGAAGGCAGCUUACCAAACUAUAUCUGACGUUGAGGCACGAAAGCGUGGGGAGCAAACAGGAUUAGAUACCCUGGUAGUCCACGCAGUAAACGAUGAUAACUCGUUGUCGGCAAUACACAGUCGGUGACUAAGCGAAAGCGAUAAGUUAUCCACCUGGGGAGUACGUUCGCAAGAAUGAAACUCAAAGGAAUUGACGGGGGCCCGCACAAGCGGAGGAACAUGUGGUUUAAUUCGAUGAUACGCGAGGAACCUUACCCGGGCUUAAAUUGCAGAUGAAUUACGGUGAAAGCCGUAAGCCGCAAGGCAUCUGUGAAGGUGCUGCAUGGUUGUCGUCAGCUCGUGCCGUGAGGUGUCGGGUUAAGUCCCAUAACGAGCGCAACCCCUACCGUUAGUUGCCAUCAGGUCAAGCUGGGCACUCUGGCGGGACUGCCGGUGUAAGCCGAGAGGAAGGUGGGGAUGACGUCAAAUCAGCACGGCCCUUACGUCCGGGGCUACACACGUGUUACAAUGGUAGGUACAGAGGGCCGCUACCCCGUGAGGGGAUGCCAAUCUCGAAAGCCUAUCUCAGUUCGGAUCGGAGGCUGAAACCCGCCUCCGUGAAGUUGGAUUCGCUAGUAAUCGCGCAUCAGCCAUGGCGCGGUGAAUACGUUCCCGGGCCUUGUACACACCGCCCGUCAAGCCAUGGAAGCUGGGGGUGCCUGAAGUUCGUGACCGCAAGGAGCGACCUAGGGCAAAACCGGUGACUGGGGCU